UGCAAGUUUGCCACAAGUUUGCAACAAACAAUUGCUGCAAGCUUGCGGCAAAUCUUAUUUGCAUAAUUAUGUUUGCAGCAAGCUUGCCGCAAACUUCAUUUGCAUGGUAAAAUGGUUGCGGCAAGUUUGCAGCAAAUGAUUGCUGCAGGCUUGCGGCAAUGUUUGCUGCAAACUUGCGGCAAAUGUUUGUC
rnacentral:sRNA from 1 species